AGCGAACGCUGGCGGCGUGCCUAACACAUGCAAGUCGAACGUGAAAGGGAGCAAUCCCAAGUAAAGUGGCGUACGGGUGAGUAACACGUAGGUAAUCUACCCCAGAAUCUGGAAUAACCGGCCGAAAGGCUGGCUAAUACUGGAUAGAGCGACGGAAUCCGUAAUUGGGUUUUUCGGGAAAGGGAGCCUGUAAAAAGGCCUUCGUUCUGGGAUGAGCCUGCGUCCCAUCAGCUAGUUGGUGAGGUAAAAGCUUACCAAGGCAAUGACGGGUAGCUGGUCUGAGAGGACGAUCAGCCACACUUGAACUGAAACACGGUCCAGACUCCUACGGGAGGCAGCAGUGGGGAAUCUUGCGCAAUGGACGAAAGUCUGACGCAGCAACGCCGCGUGAGUGAAGAAGGCCUUCGGGUUGUAAAGCUCUGUCGAGUGGGACGAAAAUGCUUGGAGUUCAAAGCUCCAGGAACUGACGGUACCACUAAAGGAAGCACCGGCUAACUCCGUG
rnacentral:rRNA from 1 species